rnacentral:lncRNA from 1 species
UGGAGAGGGAGGAGGCAGUUCACAGAAUGCUGCGUACAAGUAAACUAAGUUUCUUUCUUUCUUUUUCAUUCAUUUGUUCUUUCUUUCCUUAAAAAAGAGCAGAUGACAGAGGGCCAUUGGACUAGGACAAAAGAGAAAGCAAAACAGAGAAGCACUUGUAAGGUACCCCAGUGUCAUUCCUCUGCGCUAAGGGCUGUUUCACCCUUCAAAGAAGUAAAAUCCACCAAGAAGGACAAAAGUCAUGGAGUUAUUUUGGAAAAGUCAGUCAUGU